GACGAACGCUGGCGGCGUGCUUAACACAUGCAAGUCGUACGGUAAGGCCCUUUCGGGGGUACACGAGUGGCGGACGGGUGAGUAACACGUGAGUAACCUGCCCACAACUUUGGGAUAACGCUAGGAAACUGGUGCUAAUACUGGAUAUGUGCUCCUGCUGCAUGGUGGGGGUUGGAAAGCUCCUGCGGUUGUGGAUGGACUCGCGGCCUAUCAGCUUGUUGGUGGGGUAGUGGCCUACCAAGGCGGCGACGGGUAGCCGGCCUGAGAGGGUGACCGGCCACAUUGGGACUGAGAUACGGCCCAGACUCCCACGGGAGGCAGCAGGGGGGAAUAUUGCACAAGGGGCGCAAGCCUGAUGCAGCAAAGCCGCGUGCGGGAUGACGGCCUUCGGGUUGUAAACCGCUUUCAGCAGGGACGAAGCCUUUUGUGACGGUACCUGCAGAAGAAGCACCGGCUAACUACGUG
rnacentral:rRNA from 1 species